rnacentral:rRNA from 1 species
GACGAACGCUGGCGGCGUGCUUAACACAUGCAAGUCGAACGGAAAGGCCCUGCUUGCAGGGUACUCGAGUGGCGAACGGGUGAGUAACACGCGGGUGAUCUGCCCUGCACUUCGGGUUAAGCCUGGGCAACUGGGUCUAAUACAGGAUAGGAGCCAUUUUUAGCGUGAUGGUUGGAAAGUUUUUUCGGUGUUGGAUGAGCUCGCGGCCUAUCAGCUUGUUGGUGGGGUAAUGGCCUACCAAGGCGGCGACGGGUAGCCGGCCUGAGGGGGUGGACGGCCACAUUGGGACUGAGGUACGGCCCAGACUCCUACGGGAGGCAGAAGUGGGGAAGAUUGAACAAUGGGCGCAAGCCGGAUGCAGCGAGGCCGCGUGGGGGAUGACGGCCUUAGGGUUGAAGACUCCAUUCGCAAGGGACGAAGCUUUUUGUGACGGUACCUAGAUAAGAAGCACCGGCUAACUACGUG